GAUGAACGCUAGCGGCAGGCCUAAUACAUGCAAGUCGAACGGGUGGUCGCAAGACCACUAGUGGCGCACGGGUGCGUAACGCGUAACCAACCUGCCCCGAUCUGGGGGAUAGCCCGCCGAAAGGCGGAUUAAUACCGCAUAUACCCGCAGCCUGGCAUCAGGCAACGGGGAAAGAUUUAUUGGAUCGGGAUGGGGUUGCGUGACAUUAGCUAGUUGGCGGGGUAAGGGCCCACCAAGGCGACGAUGUCUAGGGGACCUGAGAGGGUGAUCCCCCACACUGGCACUGAGAUACGGGCCAGACUCCUACGGGAGGCAGCAGUAGGGAAUAUUGGGCAAUGGGCGAGAGCCUGACCCAGCCAUGCCGCGUGCCGGAUGAAGGCCUUCUGGGGUGUAAACGGCUUUUCUCAGGGAAGAAAAAGACCUUGCGAGGUACACUGACGGUACCUGAGGAAUAAGCACCGGCUAACUCCGUG
rnacentral:rRNA from 1 species